CACAUUUGACUACUUUUCCUCUCUCCAAAAUUCUGUUUCGUUCGUAUUUUUCGUAAUGAUGUCCCCAUUACCAUGUUUUCGGGGAACAAUUGGCGAGGCAAUAAAGGAAGUGGCAAAUUUUUACUUUUUAAACGACACAAAAAGAGUCCCAAUUGUCAGAGUGCGUAUUUUUCAUGCAGAAAUAUCGUAAAACGUAAAAUCACAAAAAUACUGAACUCCGAGGAAAAUUCAAAACGGAAAGUCCCCAAUCAAAUGGCAAAAUCAAAGGAUAAAACACAUCAAACGAAUGGUCAACAGCUGUAAUAUUCAGCUUCUGAGCUAACGCUGCGUGAAAAAAAUAUGACAUUCGAAAACAUUUUUUACCAUAGGAGAGAUUGGAUUAACAAACUCGCGCAUACGAUAUCGUUUGAUUUUAAAUUUCGUGAUUUCAUUUCAAUGGCAAUGAUAUAUAAGAUAAA
rnacentral:lncRNA from 1 species